rnacentral:rRNA from 1 species
AGCGAACGCUGGCGGCAGGCCUAACACAUGCGAGUCGAACGAACUCUUCGGAGUUAGUGGCGGACGGGUGAGUAACACGUGGGAACGUGCCUUUAGGUUCGGAAUAACUCAGGGAAACUUGUGCUAAUACCGAAUGUGCCCUUCGGGGGAAAGAUUUAUCGCCUUUAGAGCGGCCCGCGUCUGAUUAGCUAGUUGGUGAGGUAAAGGCUCACCAAGGCGACGAUCAGGAGCUGGUCUGAGAGGAUGAUCAGCCACAUUGGGACUGCGACACGGCCCAAACUCCUACGGGAGGCAGCAGUGGGGAAUCUUGCGCACUGGGCGAAAGCCUGACGCAGCCAUGCCGCGUGAAUGAUGAAGGUCUUAGGAUUGUAAAAUUCUUUCACCGGGGACGAUAAUGACGGUACCCGGAGAAGAAGCCCCGGCUAACUUCGUG